UUCACCAAAAUGACCUGAGAUGAA
rnacentral:siRNA from 1 species